UUCGACCUGAACUCAGACGUGGAC
rnacentral:rRNA from 1 species